AUACAUGCAAGUCGAGCGGACCGACGGGAGCUUGCUCCCUUAGGUCAGCGGCGGACGGGUGAGUAACACGUGGGUAACCUGCCUGUAAGACUGGGAUAACUCCGGGAAACCGGGGCUAAUACCGGAUGCUUGAUUGAGCCGCAUGGUUCAAUUAUAAAAGGUGGCUUUCAGCUACCACUUACAGAUGGACCCGCGGCGCAUUAGCUAGUUGGUGAGGUAACGGCUCACCAAGGCGACGAUGCGUAGCCGACCUGAGAGGGUGAUCGGCCACACUGGGACUGAGACACGGCCCAGACUCCUACGGGAGGCAGCAGUAGGGAAUCUUCCGCAAUGGACGAAAGUCUGACGGAGCAACGCCGCGUGAGUGAUGAAGGUUUUCGGAUCGUAAAACUCUGUUGUUAGGGAAGAACAAGUACCGUUCGAAUAGGGCGGCACCUUGACGGUACCUAACCAGAAAGCCACGGCUAACUACGUGCCAGCAGCCGCGGUAAUACGUAGGUGGCAAGCGUUGUCCGGAAUUAUUGGGCGUAAAGCGCGCGCAGGCGGUUUCUUAAGUCUGAUGUGAAAGCCCCCGGCUCAACCGGGGAGGGUCAUUGGAAACUGGGGAACUUGAGUGCAGAAGAGGAGAGUGGAAUUCCACGUGUAGCGGUGAAAUGCGUAGAGAUGUGGAGGAACACCAGUGGCGAAGGCG
rnacentral:rRNA from 1 species